UCCCUCUUCGUCUAAUGGAAGGACGCCGCGCUCUGAACGCGGAAAUCGUGGUUCGAGUCCACGGGAGGGAG
rnacentral:tRNA from 1 species